rnacentral:rRNA from 1 species
ACGAACUCCUACGGGAGGCAGCAGUGAGGAAUAUUGGUCAAUGGACGAGAGUCUGAACCAGCCAAGUAGCGUGCAGGAUGACGGCCCUAUGGGUUGUAAACUGCUUUUAUAAGGGAAUAAAGUGAGUCUCGUGAGACUUUUUGCAUGUACCUUAUGAAUAAGGACCGGCUAAUUCCGUGC